UACGGAGGGUGCGAGCGUUGUCCGGAAUCACUGGGCGUAAAGGGCGCGUAGGCGGUGCGAGUAGUCAACGGUGAAAGCCCGGGGCUCAACCCCGGGUCGGCCGUCGAUACUCUCGUGCUUGAGCACUGUAGAGGCAGGUGGAAUUCCGGGUGUAGCGGUGGAAUGCGUAGAGAUCCGGAAGAACACCGGUGGCGAAGGCGGCCUGCUGGGCAGUAGCUGACGCUGAGGCGCGACAGCGUGGGGAGCAAACAGG
rnacentral:rRNA from 1 species